ACAGAGGGUGCUAGCGUUAUUCGGAUUCACUGGGCGUAAAGGGCGUGUAGGCGGUUUGGUAAGUCUGAUGUGAAAUCCCUGGGCUCAAUCCAGGAAGUGCAUCGGAUACUGCUGAGCUAGAGCGUGAGAGAGGAGAACGGAAUUCCUGGUGUAGAGGUGAAAUUCGUAGAUAUCAGGAGGAACAACAGUGGCGAAGGCGGUUCUCUGGAUCAUUGCUGACGCUGAGGCGCGAAAGCGUGGGGAGCAAACAG
rnacentral:rRNA from 1 species